rnacentral:rRNA from 1 species
GACGAACCGUGCAAACGUUGUUCGGAUUCAUUGGGCGUAAAGGGCGCGUAGGCGGCGGGGUAAGUCUGGUGUGAAAUCUCGGAGCUCAACUCCGAAAUUGCACUGGAUACUGCUCUGCUAGAGGGCUGGAGAGGAGAUCGGAAUUCACGGUGUAGCAGUGAAAUGCGUAGAUAUCGUGAGGAAGACCAGUGGCGAAGGCGGAUCUCUGGACAGCUCCUGACGCUGAGGCGCGAAGGCUAGGGGAGCAAACGGG